CUUGCCCCUAGAAGGUGUGGCUGCUGUGUCACGUGUGCAUCAGUAGGUUGCAGAGAGGAGAGAGGCUAAGUCUAUGCUCAGUGUUCUGACCUGAAAAAUGCAGGUCUGAGAUGACCACCAGUUUGGCAGA